UCCCUGGUAGUAUAUCGGUUUAGUACACGCGCCUGUCAAACAGAGUAUUGUCGCGCGAAAGCUGGGUUCGACUCCCAGCCAGGGAG